AGGUGAUCAUCAGUACUCCGCAGUUAGCGUGCUUGGGCGAGAGUAGUACUAGGAUGGGUGACCUCCUGGGAAGUCCUCGUGUUGCAUUCCC
rnacentral:rRNA from 1 species